UUUGGUUUAUUUUUACUUGCUUUGGUUUAUUUUUACUUACUUUGGUUUAUUUUUACUUGCUUUGGUUUAUUUUUACUUGCUUUGGUUAAUUUUGCUAUUUAUUGCCGCUUUCUACCUUGCUAUAUACUUCCCUACUUGAGUCAUUUACGUUUUAUAAAAAAUAUAUACCCGUUUGUUACCACGCCUCAAUUUAGUUACUUUUUUUGUACAUGUGUUCACUUUUUUUUUUUUUUUUUUUUUUUUUUUAAUUCUUCUUUUAAUGUAUGAAUUUAUAUAUUCGCAUGUACGUUCAUAUAUUUAUAUAUAUAUUUAUACAUUUGUGACCGUUUGUUUUAUAAAACAACAUUUCAAAUUUAGCUAGCUAUUCCCUUUUUUAUGUAGUUUGCAUAAUGUUACUAGUAAGUUAAUAACUUUUGAUGUUAAGAAUAGAAUAUUCAUAUAUGUAUAUGUGUUUAUAUAUUUUGAGUUUUUUUUUCUUUUUUUAAUAUUUUUGCUUUUACGUAAAAAUAAUUAAUCUUAAUAAAUAAAACUUUGAACAGUCCA
ensembl:lncRNA